AUAUCCUGUGAAGAAGAAUUCAAGUCAGGAAGGACUAUCUCUGAAUACCACCCCCCACAACAAACUAAUAUUACCUCUUGGAGGGCUGAGGACAUGAAGGGACCGUCUCUGGAAAGAAAGAGAACACGCAGACCGGAGCAGAGGCGGGUUGAACCAGCAGAUUAUUCAUCUCAGAGGCCUUUUUCUGAUUGCGACGGAACGGAAGGGGCAGAUGUAAUUCCAUAUAGACGAGCCCAGCUUUAAGCUGCUGGAAUGUGCCUGGCCAGAUAACUCCCGUGGUGGGGUACGGUUCUGUCUCCACCUGGGAUCGAAGCGCUAUUGUUCCUGGCGUGACCUCCGAUCCUCGGGCUGGUGGACUGCCAGACCUGUGCCCUGCUGAGCCAUAAAUAAAAGGGUUUGGAGAACAGCCUGUUCCGACUCCCCAAGUGGACUUGGUUCUUGGCGGAGUUCUGAAGACGAAUCCAGGGGUUGAGGUGAGGCGGCGAUGGUGUGAAGGCCCUGAGUUAUCGCUGAGGAAUGUUUUGUUUUUUUUAAAUAGUAUUUGUUAAGCGUUUAGUACGUGCCUGGCGCUGUUCUAAGUGCUGGGGUAGAUACAAGGCAAUCAGGUUGGACACAGUUCAUGUCCUACGUGGAGCUCACAGUCUCAAUCCCCAUUUUACAGAUGAGGAAACUCAGGCACAAAGAAUAAGAGUAAUUAUGGUACCUGUUAAGCGUUUACUAUGUACCGAGCACUGUUCUAAGUGCUGAGAUACAUCCAAGGUAAUCAGGUUGGACCCAGUCCCUGUCCCAUAUUGGGGCACAAGCUCUUAAUCCCCAUUUUUUACAGAUGAGGUAACUGAGGCCCAGAGAAGUUCAUUCAUUCAUUCAAUAGUAUUUAUUGAGCGCUUACUAUGUGCAGGGCACAGUACUAAGUGCUUGGAAUGUACAAUUCGGCAACAGAUAGAGACAAUCCCUGCCCAAUAACGGACUCGUGGUCUAGAAGGGGGAGACGGACAAAAACAAGACAACAUAAUCACGAUAAACACAAUAAAGAAGUGACUUGCCCCA
rnacentral:lncRNA from 1 species